rnacentral:rRNA from 1 species
AGUGAACGCUGGCGGUAGGCCUAACACAUGCAAGUCGAACGGCAGCACAGUAAGAGCCUGCUCUUACGGGUGGCGAGUGGCGGACGGGUGAGGAAUACAUCGGAAUCUACUUUUUCGUGGGGGAUAACGUAGGGAAACUUACGCUAAUACCGCAUACGACCUACGGGUGAAAGCAGGGGAUCUUCGGACCUUGCGCGAUUGAAUGAGCCGAUGUCGGAUUAGCUAGUUGGCGGGGUAAAGGCCCACCAAGGCGACGAUCCGUAGCUGGUCUGAGAGGGUGAUCAGCCACACUGGAACUGAGACACGGUCCAGACUCCUACGGGAGGCAGCAGUGGGGAAUAUUGGACAAUGGGCGCAAGCCUGAUCCAGCCAUACCGCGUGGGUGAAGAAGGCCUUCGGGUUGUAAAGCCCUUUUGUUGGGAAAGAAAAGCAGCAGGUUAAUACCCCGCUGUUCCGACGGUACCCAAAGAAUAAGCACCGGCUAACUUCGUG